GGGCAUUUUGGAUGGAGCUUGCUGGCUGC
rnacentral:piRNA from 2 species